rfam:Myotis brandtii contig180188, whole genome shotgun sequence.
AUCACCAGGGGAUCCUAUUAAAAUGCAGAUCCUGAAUCAGUGGGUCUGGGGUGAAGCCUAAGGUUUUACAUUUCUAGCAAGUCCCCAGGUGAUGCCAA